rnacentral:lncRNA from 1 species
ACAUUUUGAUCCAUGUAAAAAUCUAAAAACAGGUUACAAGGAUAAACUGUACAUGCAUCUUAUUUUAGAAAUCUUCUUUUGAAUUAACAGUACAUGCAUCUUUUUUUUAUUAAUAAUUGUUUGAACACUUCUCAGGAAGGUUGUCACACAUUUCAAGGAGGUUUCUAGAAUUACUUCAGUAUGGGUGAGUGUACUUUGCCAAAUGAUAACUUGAUUGCAACUUGUCUUAUAUCUAAAUGAUUUUUUUAAUCACCUAUAUUUGUUGCUGCCUUGAACUAGAACUGAAUGUUAGCAUACUGAGUGAAUAGUAGCCAUAUGAAAGAAAAACUAGACACAGUUUUUUGUGUAGUCCUGAUUUCAUUAUCAAGAUAAGUAAAUAUUCUGAAUUAUGGGUUCAGCAGCAGUAACUGAGACAGUUUUUAAAUAGUUUAUGUUCAAAAAAUACACCGUGGCUUGCUGUCAGAUGACGUGGUCACAUGGUCGUAAUAAAGUUGAAGGUAGCUAAUUACUGUAAUAUUGUACUUCAUUCGUCUAGAAAUGAGUCCUACUUUUGUUAUUGACUUUUUUUUUCUUCGAAUAUUGAGUUUCUUCAUUAUUUGUCAAUAAUUUUUUGAAGUAAUAAAUCUUAAUUUUAAAGUUUAUUAUUGAAAAAAAAUCCAAAAAAUUAUGUGCGUCUUCUUUGACAAUUUUUUGCUUCUAGGUUGUUGAGUAUGAUCUUGAUGACUGGUGAUCAUCCCUUGUAUAUAUAGAUAUACAUACAAGUUGAUGAGUAACCGUCCUUUCUAUCAUUCUUGUCAAGUUGUACUGGAUUAAACAUAUAGUAUACUUAAUUGUGUUUGAUAAUAAACAUCAUCAUUAACAAACAAAAUAAGUAUUCUUGACUUAUUUUGUUUUAUGGGCCUAAUGGAAUAUGACAGUACUCAGUACUCUUUAUUAGCUUCAUACUUCAAUCCCAUGGACUAUAUAGUCUAUGGAUUAGUAAUCCUAUCACUAUUUUAUCCUUUAAAAAAUAGUCCUUUUCCAUGCUCUUUUGCUCUUAUAUUCUCCCACUUCUGCAACAUUGCUACUUAAUCAUUUAUAUACUAUAAAUUUUCUUCUUACUGGUAUAGAAAUAUAAUAGAAGAAAUAUUUUCCAUAUGGUACUGCAUGAUAUCAGUAUAGUGUUCCUUGGUGGCUUUUUUGUCUUCAAGUUUAGAUUUGUUUAGAGGCCUUCAGGUACAGUGGUAUGCUAAGUGUUCUUGCACUAUUUAGGUACAGUGGUGUGCAAGAUUUAUAUUAAGCUAAUCUCUUGAAAUUAUAUGCAGUUGAUGUUUGCUUGCAAAAAGAACAGAGAUCAUUUGAUGUGCCUCAUUUGCUGCCGGUCGAGUUUAGAAUGGGUACAUACAUCCAGGUCAGAGCUUCGCCAGAUAUCUUAGAAUUUGGCGAUGCUCGACUGUUGGGAAGCAGAUGGAUGUGA